UGAGGGGAAAACAGCCUGAAGCGCCGGCUUUAGUAUCUCGCUCUUUCUUCCUUUAUGAGGUCUGUCUGAGAGUGUCUUGUUCGGCUGGUGUCUGGCACUGACUGUGAGGAUGAGGAUGAUGAUGAUGAAGACGUUUCGACAAGCUCGCAGCUCGGACCGGGUCAACGGCACGUCCUGUUAAAGCACUCAGUGUACCCUGUUCUCCAUCCAGCUGUGCUGUAAUGCACUUCUGAGCUGGUGGGAUCGGACCGAAGCUCUGCUCAAUAGCAGCAGGAUUUGGGGGAUUGUACAAGGAUCUCGGCAAGGAGUGAAAUCUGUGGUUCUUUGAGACAGCUCAGAGGAAUGGAUCCAGGCAAAGGCAAAUCGGACAUCAGAGUGUGUCUUCAACAUAUUCACCUCCUAACCGGCACGUACAGAAUGGAUGCUUCACAAGGACAACCGGAUUAGAAGGUAGUUCAAUUCUAAAAUCACAUCAAAUGUAUUUAACAGGUUGUACUUUAUUUACUGUAAGCUACUGCAACAUAUGUCACAACAUCUUUGCAUGCAACCAAUUUAACCCUGUAAAUUCUGACAUAUGAAAUAAUAACCAGUUUAUUGAACUUUUAGAUAAAAAUAUAUUUGAUACAUCAGGCUUUUAUGCCCCAUAUGAUAUAGGAG
ensembl:lncRNA